rnacentral:rRNA from 1 species
CAGGUGGUCGGGUAGAGAAUACCAAGGCGCUUGAGAGAACUCGGGUGAAGGAACUAGGCAAAAUGGUACCGUAACUUCGGGAGAAGGUACGCUCUUGAUGGUGAAGUCCCUUGCGGAUGGAGCUGACGAGAGUCGCAGAUACCAGGUGGCUGCAACUGUUUAUUAAAAACACAGCACUGUGCAAAAUCGUAAGAUGACGUAUACGGUGUGACGCCUGCCCGGU